rnacentral:rRNA from 1 species
UACGAAGGGGGCUAGCGUUGUUCGGAAUUACUGGGCGUAAAGCGCACGUAGGCGGAUAUUUAAGUCAGGGGUGAAAUCCCAGAGCUCAACUCUGGAACUGCCUUUGAUACUGGGUAUCUCGAGUAUGGAAGAGGUGAGUGGAAUUCCUAGUGUAGAGGUGAAAUUCGUAGAUAUUAGGAAGAACACCAGUGGCGAAGGCGGCUCACUGGUCCGGUACUGACGCUGAGGUGCGAAAGCGUGGGGAGCGAACAGG